rnacentral:lncRNA from 1 species
AGUCCAGACGGCUGUGGGGUUUCCUGCCGUGCCACACACGGGGAGCACUACUCUGCCCUGAAGGACAACCUGGAGCCAUGUGCAGGGAAACGGACGCACCUUGAGACCACUGUGCUAACUGAAGGAAAUCAGACACGCAGCUUGAAUUUCACCUGGCUUCUCAUGCAGGAGAAACCCAGAGUAUAAAUAAAGAAUGAAGUAAAAGUGGGCGAUGCAUGGACAAAUUCGGACGCAAAGCUCCACCUGAGCACAGCCCUCUGCCUGUCCCUCGAGGUCCCAGCCCUUCCUGUCUGGGCUGGACAGAAAGGGGGUGCAGCUCGACGCACUGAAGCCCGGGAGGGAGGACAGCGCUGCCCACGGCUCUUGCAUGAGGGUGCUCUGCAGUCACACGUGAUCACAGCCCGCAGCGCACGAGGCCCUGCUGCCAUAGGCUGCCUCUGAACACAUAUGUCUCUCACAGAUUUUGUUAUAGAAGGUUAGGCAAAGAUUUCUUGAGGGUGACACCCAAAGCAGGAGUCAUAAAAGAAAAAAAAUGAUAAAUUAACUGUCAUCAAAAUUAAGAACUUUUGCCCUUGAAAGUGUGCUAUUUGGGCAGUGAAAAGACACACUGCAGCCUGGGAGGAAAUGUGCGCAGACUAUCUCUGAUAAGAAGGUGUGCAUUCAAUGUAUAGAGAACCCUUAAGCUCAAGAAUAAAAUGACAAAUGACCCAGUUUUUAAAAUGGACAAAAGAUUUCAAAAGACAUUUCACCGGAGAAGAUGUAAUAAUGGCUAAUGAGCACCUCAAAGAGUCAUCAGUCACUCGGAAAGUGCAGAAGGGCUGCCCUAGAGCCUCACACCCACUUGGGGUGGGGGGAUGCAAUAAUAAAACAUAAAACAAUUGGGCAACGACACGUGUUGGGGAGGAGGUGACGAAAUCAGAAGCCUCCUGAGCUGCUGGCGCUGGGGGUUUGCAGGGAACAGGGCAGCUGCUUAGGAAAACACUGGGGCAAUUCCCAUAAAAAGUUACACCUGGCUUCCCACACGGCUCAGCAAUUCCAGACGUUCACAAAUACAGCACUCGGAUGAAGCUGAUGUCCAACAGCAACUUCUACUUGUGUGUGACCGUCAGCAGGGCUCUGAUAGCUCAGACCACCACACGCCCCAUGUCCAUCAACAGGUGAAUGACACAGAAAGCACAGAGUGCCCAACAGUAGGAUGCUAUUCAGGAAGAAAAGGGAACGGAUUCGUGACAGGUGCGACCCGCAAGAACAUCUCAGAAUAAUUCUGCUGCAUGAAGAGUAGGAUUUCGUCUAUAGAACACCCUAGAAAACCCACAUUGGGCUUUGGCGACAGGCAGUUAGCCUGCCUGGACCACAAAGGCAGGGAGGAGGCCUGGGAGUGACAGACGAGUUUAUUAUCUGGACUGCACAGGUUUUGCGAGUUUGUGCAUUUGUCCAGAUGAGCAAAUCAUUCGCUACCUACCUGGGGAUAUUGCGCGUCAAAUACCCCAACGAAGCUGUUCAAAGUGGGGAAAUUACACGUGUCAGCAAUCUUUUCCUUUCUGGAUCAUACAACUUCUUUAUGACUACGAACAAACCUCUCCCUGUCCCGGAGCUUCUGUGGGCAAAGGCUGCUUCGGUACAACAGCAAAGACAGUAAAGGCGCCCCUCCGCCCCUGCCUCACUCAUCUGUCUGAAGUUGUUUGGGUACAUCAUACAAAGUAAAACCCAGCUUUUUUACCCCAGUUGGCCCAAUAUUUCUUGAAAAAAAGGAUCUACACUUAUUUGAAAUGUCAUCUUUAUCAGAUAGUAAAGCCCUGUAUGUUUGAUUUUGUUUCUGGACUUCUUUUUGGGUCCUUUUGUCUAUUUUUGUGUCAACACUGUAUUUUUAAC